UGAUGGUGAGAUGAGUCCUCAUGAGGCAUUGAACCGUUUGGCCAAAUUGCUCCAGCGCUCCCCACAAUUCAUGAGGCUUCAUGUGAACAUGUCCCCCCCUACUGGUGGAUAACUACAGUUGACUCCUGCAUGUUCACCGGGGCUGCAGCAUCUGGGACAAACUAGGCGGCACCCGCUGCAACUCCUUGAUAGCCCAGCGGCUGGACCGUACCUUGUUCUAUGGAGAUGGACUGAACUGUUAAACAAGGGUUUGAGUGAUGGCCGGUGCACCGCCUUAACCGCUGACACUGCGGAUCCACAGCCUGAUCUGUAUUUUGAUACACUUUUAGUUUUCCCACUCACCUUGAAAACUGGGUCCUUCUGUCCUGCUUCAUAAAAUUAUCAGCAUCAAGCAUACAAGAAUCACUCAGUACAUAAUUACAUAAUCUUCUGUAAUGUUGCAGCCACAGCUCUAAAAUAUUCUUUUUAACAGAGAUACCUUCAACAACAGGUGGUCAAAAAGCUCUAGUUGUCAUGGUCCCAACUUCUUUCUAAAACUCAUACGGUCAAAAUUCAUCUGAAUUGUAUUUCAACCACUCAUUCAGAUUUAAUUGCAUGCUCAUUUCUGAUUAUUAAAUAAGGUACAUUCUUAUACUGUGCAUUUCUAACCCUGUUGUGCAGAUAAGCUGGCCCACAUGUUGGCCUCCCUGCCAUUAUCCACUCUUUAAAAGCCUUACAUGCCUUUUGAAUAAAAUUCAGUUAAAUGGGCAUACCAACUAGGUUUAACUUUCUUUUAUUCUGCAUAUAGAUUAACUUGAAUAUAUGAGUACUUUAAUUGCAUUCUAUCAUACAAACAAGAAGUGGUGAAAAAUGUUCACAGUUUUCGCAUUAA